rnacentral:tRNA from 1 species
GGGAGUAUAACUCAAAGGUAGAGUGUAUGCUUUGCAAGCAUAAAGUUAUCAGUUCAAAUCUGAUUAUUUCCA